AUUAGCUUGGAGUGUCUUGAACAUUUUUAUCUUUUUGAUUGUUCAAGAUUUGAGAAGUUCCUAUACAUUGUGGGAAACAUGACUUCAUUGCGGUUACUUUAUUUGGAUGGUACUGCCAUAAAGGAACUACCAACAUCAUUUAAGAGUUUAUGCGGCCUUUCCAUAUUGUCUUUACAUAACUGCAAAAAGCUCUCAAUUUUUCUGAGCAUUAUUGGUAGUUUGUCAUCUCUUAAAAUUCUGGAUGUAUCUGAUUGCCUAGCACUUAGUGGAAUUCAAGACAUGAAUGGUGAGGGGUAUCUGGAACAAUUGUAUAAAGGUGGAACUGCUAUCAAAUUUACAAUGUUUUUCGCAGUGCCAGAGUUUGGUUCGAAUGAUGCUUGCUCUACGCAAUAAAUGUUUAUGACCAAUGAUGACUCUAUUGCGGCCUUCUAUUUUGGUUUUGAUGAAAGAGUCUACUACAUUAGAAGCUUGAAUUAUGAAGAAAGUAAUUUGUAGACAAAAGGCUAUGACGUUGAAACUAAUAGUUUUAAUCCCAAGGUAAUGUGUGGAUCUUCCUUGGGAGCUAAAGUUCGAUAGUGGUUCAACAUGACAAGUUUUGGUUCUCAUGUAACACUUCAAAUCCAUCCAAACUUAGAUAAUAAUAGUAAGUGGGAGGCAUAUGUUCA